CUUCGGACAAUAUACGAGGUGCUGCAUGGUUGUCGUCAGCUCGUGCCGUGAGGUGUCGGGUUAAGUCCCAUAACGAGCGCAACCCUACCUUUAGUUGCCAUCAGGUAAUGCUGGGGACUCUAAAGGAACUGCCUACGCAAGUAGUGAGGAAGGCGGGGAUGACGUCAAAUCAGCACGGCCCUUACGUCCAGGGCUACACACGUGCUACAAUGGCCGAUACAGAGGGCAGCUACCUGGUGACAGGAUGCAAAUCUCCAAAGUCGGUCUCAGUUCGGAUCGGAGUCUGCAACCCGACUCCGUGAAGUUGGAUUCGCUAGUAAUCGCGCAUCAGCCAUGGCGCGGUGAAUACGUUCCCGGGCCUU
rnacentral:rRNA from 1 species